rnacentral:rRNA from 1 species
UAGGGAAUCUUCCGCAAUGUGCGAAAGCCUGACGGAGCAACGCCGCGUGAGUGAUGAAGGUCUUCGGAUCGUAAAACUCUGUUAUUAGGGAAGAACAAAUGUGUAAGUAAUUAUGCACGUCUUGACGGUACCUAAUCAGAAAGCCACGGCUAACUACGUGCCAGCAGCCGCGGUAAUACGUAGGUGGCAAGCGUUAUCCGGAAUUAUUGGGCGUAAAGCGCGCGUAGGCGGUUUUUUAAGUCUGAUGUGAAAGCCCACGGCUCAACCGUGGAGGGUCAUUGGAAACUGGAAAACUUGAGUGCAGAAGAGGAAAGUGGAAUUCCAUGUGUAGCGGUGAAAUGCGCAGAGAUAUGGAGGAACACCAGUGGCGAAGGCGACUUUCUGGUCUGUAACUGACGCUGAUGUGCGAAAGCGUGGGGAUCAAACAGG